rnacentral:rRNA from 1 species
GAUGAACGCUGGCGGCGUGCCUAAUACAUGCAAGUCGAGCGAAAAGACGAGGAGAUUGUUCUUUUGACGUUAGCGGGGGGCGGGUGAGUAACACGUGGAUAACAUACUUAUAUUUCUGGGAUAAUUACGGAAAACCGGAUAUAAUACUAGAGCAUAUAUUGAACCGCAUGGUUCAAUAGUGAAUGACGGCUUUGGUGUCUGUUAUAGAUGGUUCCGUGCUGGAUUGGUUAGUUGGUAAGGUAACGGCUUACCGAGGGAACGAUGCGUGGCCGAACUGAGAGGGUGAUCGGCCACCCUGGAACUGAGACACGGUCCAGACUCCUACGGGAGGCAGCAGUAGGGAAUCUUCCGCAAUGGGCGAAAGCCUGACCCAGCAACGCCGCGUGAGUGAUGAAGGCCUUCGGAUCGUAAAACCCUGUUAUUAGGGAAGAACAGAUGUGGAAGUAAACAUGGCCGUCUUGACGGUACCUAAUCAAAAAGCCCCGGCUAACUACGUG